UGCAUUGAAGGAGCCACACCCUACCCUCGUC
rnacentral:piRNA from 1 species